rnacentral:rRNA from 1 species
UACGAAGGGGGCUAGCGUUGCUCGGAAUCACUGGGCGUAAAGCGCACGUAGGCGGACUCUUAAGUCAGGGGUGAAAUCCUGGAGCUCAACUCCAGAACUGCCUUUGAUACUGGGAGUCUUGAGUUCGGGAGAGGUGAGUGGAACUGCGAGUGUAGAGGUGAAAUUCGUAGAUAUUCGCAAGAACACCAGUGGUGAAGGCGGCUCACUGGCCCGAUACUGACGCUGAGGUGCGAAAGCGUGGGGAGCAAACAGG